rnacentral:lncRNA from 1 species
GUGGAGGGUGACACUGGACCACAGUGUCUCUUCAGGGCUUCUAGCAUCAGUCCUGGGGUGUUGCAAUCAAAAUAGGAAGUCAGUUUGGUUUCCUUCUGUGAGCUAACACAGGCUUUCUGCACUGCUGAAGCCUGUCCUGCCUGGCUUUGUGCAGAGUGAUUAGAGGAGGCAGGAGCAGCAGGGACCUGUCUGAUCCCCAUCCCUGCCUGCAGAAAUCCAGGCACGUGGCCAGGGCUGGGAAAUGAUGAGGCAGCAUCAGCAGAUCUGAGCUGGCUGGAAGCUCAGCCACGUGCACGGGGCAGGAGGGGGCACUUGCAGGAGGGGGCCCACAAAGGCCCCUUUUUUGUCCCUUUGCUGCUCAGUAUUGUCCUGUCCAAACCCUUCCUUGUCACAGAUGAUGCUAUGGACUAUGAGAACAGCAUGGCAAUACUCACAUGGAAACUCCAGCAAGGGCAAGCCCCAGUGACAGAAAGCUCGGAUGAUGAGCCAGACUACAUCAACACAGCUCCUGUGUCAGGCCCUGCCCUGCUGCCAGAGCAAAGUAUUCUGCAUAAAGUCUGAAGAAAUCUUUUGCUGAGCUGUAAGAGGACACCCAGCAAACAAGCACAAAGGGAGAGGGGAGAUUUCCAUCCCUCAGUGAAAUCUCCUCUCCAAACUGUGCCUGCAGUGACACAGAAGGGGUGUUACUGAAAGAAGAGCUGCACUGCUUGAAGCCCCACAGGAGUCCAACUGCAAGCCAGCAAGUGGAGAAAGCACUCUGCCCCCAGUGACCACGGGCAAGCCCCAGGCUCCUCAUCCCAGUCACAUUCCCUGUGUCCACUCGAAGGUGGCCAGUCUGGGCAAUGUUUUCUCCUGGCAGGCAUGAAAUGAAUCCUUCCCUUGCUGAGCAG